rnacentral:tRNA from 1 species
UCCCUGGUGGCCUAAGGGUUAAAGAUUCAGCAUUGUCACUGCAGUGGCUCAGGUUCAAUCCCUGGCCAGGGAA